UAGCUACAGCCAAGUUCACAAGCUGUAUUAGUUAUGCAAACUAUCUUGGCUGGUAAAUCAAGAGACUGAACAGUGUGGAAUUGGUGUUUUGUUUUUCUGCACAGGGCAUACAGCAUUAUUAUGUUGUACAUUUAGUAAAAGAGAACAAUGUUGAAGUUGUACCAGAGCAGUGGGUGGAGAAGAGAGAUGGGGUCCUGUGUUGCUACUGGCCAAGAAAUGCCAUUAAGAGAGGAGACCGGCCUGACAAAAUAUUACGGGAGUAGUACAGAAUUUCCAUCUUUUCAUCAACUGACAAUUACUCUGUGGCAGAGCAACGAGCCAAACGGGGGGUUGACACCUCCAAUGUUGAAUCUGACGAGGAACCAGCGAAGAGG